AUCUGAUGGUGAGGGCAAUUUGCACAUAACUUUUCAAAUCUCUCUCAAUACUCAUACAAGCUCUCCCCACCAAGCUGCCUAAUCCCAGAUAUGUCUUUUCUGAUCGU
rfam:Vigna angularis cultivar Jingnong 6 scaffold163_16, whole genome shotgun sequence.